GCACAUCUCCCUGUGGACCUUUGGAACUUAUUAGAGGAACUCGGGCUGGGUAUGUAACCCGCAUUUGAGACUUUUAUUGUUGCGGGUCAAUUCCGUUUCACCCCGAUCUCCCCCACUUCCUUUAAGUUGCGGGGUCACAGUGUCACUUCCUCCUCCGCUCCGCUGUGGCUGGGGUCUGGGCGCGUCGGCAAACAAUUUCACUAAACUUGUUAACUACGAAUAGUACAGCAUCCACAAUUAGAGCCUCCAUAUCGAUUGUGCGCACCUGGCCGUGUGUGGAGAGGAGAUCGCAAUGCGAAAUUCGAAGGUCAGGUUUUUUCUAUGGACUGAUUGAACUCCAGCUUUGCAGAAACACUCGACUCAACCAGGAAAUGAACGAUGGCGAGUUUACCCAAAAAACCUGAACUUAAUUUAACCUGAAUCAAAUAACUGGACUGUUUUUUUUAAAUUUUGUUUGUUAUUCUUGUGCUCUGUAAAAAUUUAUUUUCAAUAUACUUCACCCAACUUCA